rnacentral:lncRNA from 1 species
GCCAUUUGUUCAUUGUUAGCAUAUAUAAAUAUUACCAGUUUUUGUAGGUUGGUUUUGUAUUCUGCAAACUUUACUGAAUUCAUUUAUCGGUUUUAACAGUUGUUUGGUGGAAUCUAGAUAUAAAAUAUAAAAUCAUGUCUACUACCACCAAGGCUAAUUUGACUUCUUCCUUUCCAGUCUGGAAGCCCUUUAUUUCUUUCUCUUGCCUAAUUGUUCUGACCAGGGUUUCCAGUAUUAUAUUGAAUAAAUGUCGCAAAAGUGGAAAUCAUUGUGUUUUUCAGGUUUGGGAGAAACAGACUUCAAUUUCCUCCAUUCAAUCGAUCCUUAGCUGUGGAUUUGUCAUCUACGACCUUUGUUGUUUUGAGAUGGAGACUCACUCUUGCCAUGUGGGCUGCACUUCAGCAUGAUCUUGGCUAACUGCAACCUCUGCCUCCUGGGUUCCAGUGAUUCUCCUGCCUCAGACUCCUGAGUAGCUGGGAUUACAGGUGCCUGCUACCAUGCCCAGGUAAUUUUUUUGGUAAUUUAGUAGAGACGGGGUUUCACCAUUCUCUGCAUAUAUAUAUAUUUUUUAUUGCACUUUAGAUUCUGGGGUACAUGUGCAGAUCCUGCAGG